rnacentral:rRNA from 1 species
UACAGAGGUCUCAAGCGUUGUUCGGAUUCAUUGGGCGUAAAGGGUGCGUAGGCGGCGCGGUAAGUCGGGUGUGAAAUCUUGGAGCUUAACUCCGAAACUGCAUUCGAUACUGCCGUGCUUGAGGACUGGAGAGGAGACUGGAAUUCACGGUGUAGCGGUGAAAUGCGUAGAUAUCGUAAGGAAGACCAGUGGCGAAGGCGGGUCUCUGGACAGUUCCUGACGCUGAGGCACGAAGGUCAGGGGAGCAAACGGG